UCCUAUCCCCUAACAAGCAUCUCCUGCAUCCUAUAAUCCCAUUCAAAAAUGUAUUAAGCUCCACUUUAAAGAUACUUAAGUUGUUUCCCUUUGUUACUCUUAUUGGAAGGCAGUUCCAGACAGGUGGAAGGUGGCUAGACAGUUGUAUUGAUCUCUGAAUUCCCUGGAAAUUCUAUUUAUAAAAUGUUAAGCACUUCGUUAAGGAUUUCCAAUGAAAGAGCCUGAAGCAAUACCCUAAAGUAUUCACUGUAUCCAAGGACCUUAUUUCAGCACCAAAUUUCUCCCUCUGUGCAGAGUGUGUACAGGAUUUGCAGUUUCCAGUGUUUUAAAACUGCUGCUUUGAUAUUAUAAUGCAUAUCUUCUGAAUGAUGGGCUUCAAAUUAAUUUUAUUCUUACAAAGAAACUGAAGACAAGGACAACUGUUUUUAAUAUUAUUAUUUACAAGGUGCUAAUGUGCAAUUUGUUGCUUGUCAAAACAGUGGGAAUUAUGUUCUCAUUCCAUGUUAAAUAUAAUUAGCUAAUACUUUCCAAAGGAAAUGGAGGCAGAAGUGUCUCAUAUUUUUAGCUAUGUUGCCAAUUUCAUUAUUUACCUUCAUUUGUACUCUCUCUCAUAAUGCAGAAGUUUAAGUUAUGUCUCUAGCAUGUUCAAAUGAAAUCCACAAUAAAGAGGUUGUGUUUCCUCUUCAA